rnacentral:ncRNA from 2 species
CGAGCUCUUCAGGGCGGGGUGCGAUUCCCCACCGGCGGUAUAACCCGCAAGCCUCCCUCGUUAAGGGAGGCAGAUUCGGUGAAACUCCGAAGUCGACGGUAAAGUCCGGAUGAAAGAAGAACUUA